CCUACGGGAGACAGCAGUGAGGAAUAUUGGUCAAUGGACGCAAGUCUGAACCAGCCAUGCCGCGUGCAGGAUGACUGCUCUAUGAGUUGUAAACUGCUUUUAUACGAGAAUAAUCUUUCUUACGUGUCCGUUUUUGUAUGUACCUUACGAAUAAGGAUCGGCUAACUCCGUGCCAGCAGCCGCGGUAAUACGGAGGAUCCGAGCGUUAUCCGGAUUUAUUGGGUUUAAAGGGGGCGUAGGUGGGCGGUUAAGUUAGUUGUGAAAGGUCGCGGCUUAACCCCGUUACUGCCUAUGAUACUGGUAGACUAGAGAGCGGAUGAAGUAGGCGGAAUGAGUAGUGUAGCGGUGAAAUGCUUAGAUAUCACUCAGAACACCGAUUGCGCAGGCAGCUUGCUAAGCCGCAUCUGACGUUGAUGCACGAAAGCGUGGGUAGCGAACAGGAUUAGAUACCCGGGUAGUC
rnacentral:rRNA from 1 species